rnacentral:snRNA from 1 species
AUCCUAGUGCACGGGUUUUACACGUAUCAGUGAGGAGACAUCCGAGAUCGUGUUUUUGCUAGUUGAAAACUACCAAAUUGACUGCUUCAAGUGGGCCUUCGGGAACCUUGGGAAUUUUUGAAAUACUACUGCCUCAUCUCCUUGACUUCUUGGGUCUUCGAGU